GAGAUUCCCCCAGUAGCGGCGAGCGAACGGGGAGGAGCCCAGAGCCUGAAUCAGUGUGUGUGUUAGUGGAAGCGUCUGGAAAGGCGCGCGAUACAGGGUGACAGCCCCGUACACAAAAAUGCACAUGCUGUGAGCUCGAUGAGUAGGGCGGGACACGUGGUAUCCUGUCUGAAUAUGGGGGGACCAUCCUCCAAGGCUAAAUACUCCUGACUGACCGAUAGUGAACCAGUACCGUGAGGGAAAGGCGAAAAGAACCCCGGCGAGGGGAGUGAAAAAGAACCUGAAACCGUGUACGUACAAGCAGUGGGAGCACAGAGCAAUCUGUGUGACUGCGUACCUUUUGUAUAAUGGGUCAGCGACUUAUAUUCUGUAGCAAGGUUAACCGAAUAGGGGAGCC
rnacentral:rRNA from 1 species